GCCUUCGUGGUGUAGUGGUCAGCACGCUGGGAGCCUAUUCCUGUGGUCCAUGGUUCGAUUCCCGGCGAAGGCA
rnacentral:tRNA from 1 species